GACAGAGGGUGCAAACGUUGUUCGGAAUUACUGGGCGUAAAGCGCGUGUAGGCGGCCCGGAAAGUCGGAUGUGAAAGCCCUGGGCUUAACCUAGGAAGUGCAUUCGAAACUGCUGGGCUUGAGUUCUGGAGAGGAAGGCGGAAUUCUCGGUGUAGAGGUGAAAUUCGUAGAUAUCGAGAGGAACACCGGUGGCGAAGGCGGCCUUCUGGACAGUGACUGACGCUGAGACGCGAAAGCCAGGGGAGCAAACGGG
rnacentral:rRNA from 1 species